CACACACACACACACACACACACACACACACACACACACACACACACACACACACACACACACACACACACACACACACACACACACACACACACACACAUCUCCUUACCUGAUAUGCCCCUCAGCAGUUCACAGGGAAUAGUGUAGGCUUGUUCUUCACUCGCAAGCAUGCAAGUAUGUUUAACGGAACUACUGAAAUGUGUCCAGACGUUUCAAAAGGCGCCCUGCAGUUGGUCAAUUCGAACACCCUCUCUUUAACGACUGUUGAAGGAACUUUAAAACUGCCUGCGUGUGCGUCUGUGAGCAUGUGAGCGUGCGUGAGAAAGAGAGAGAGAGAGAGAGAGAGAGAGAGAGAGAGAGAGAUGAUGGUGUGUCGAUGAGACAGAGGAGGAGAAAGUGAAAGCUAUAAAAUAGAGCCGAAAACCGAGAGGUGAGAGGAUACGACGGCAGCCUUCAGAGAGAACGCCAGAGCUGGUGAAUAUUUAUGUGCCCUGCCACGCAUAAUCCACGCUCCUAAAUCCUCCCUCUCUUCAGCCAAACCACAGUCACACGGCAUCAAGGGAAUAAACACUCUUUCAGCAUCGCCUACCGUACCGUGGUGCAGCACCCUGACAGGUGAAGGAAGGACACCUCGCCGGUGCCUUGCUCGGGGGCAGAAGGGGCCAAGUGGAUGUUAGCUUGAUGGAUCUGCUCGCAGUAUCUCUCUCUCUCUCUCUCUCUCUUGGCUGUAUCUGCAUGUAUAGCUCCCCUUUGCUUGAUGAUGCAAAAGCACCGGCAACUCUGCCCUCCCCCCCUUCUCUGUAUCUCUCUCUCUCUCUCUCUCUCUCCCUCUCUCUCUCUCUCUCUGUCUGUCUCGCUCCUCUCUCUCGCUCUCUCUCUUUACUUACCCCCAACCUUUUUUUACUCUGUCUCUUCGCUUUUCUUCGCAACAGCACACCUCCUCCCCCCCGCCCCUUUGUGGUCGCCAUAGCAACACGCCUCUAACAUCCCGCGGCAGAAGGCAGACGUGCUGUGCUCAAUGUGUAUGUGUGUGUGUGUGUGUGUGUGGGGGUGUCUGUAAUGUAAUUACAGUAGCUGCAGCUCAGAAUUUU
ensembl:lncRNA